GACGAACGCUGGCGGCGUGCGUAACACAUGCAAGUCGAACGAGAGAGUGAGAGAGCUUGCUUUUCUUACGAUCGAGUGGCAAACGGGUGAGUAACGCGUAAACAACCCGCCCCGCAGAUGGGGACAACAGCUGGAAACGGCUGCUAAUACCGAAUACGGUCCUCUUAGCGCAUGGUAAGAGGAAGAAAGGGUGGCCUCUGGAACAAGCUACCGCUGUGGGAGGGGUUUGCGUCUGAUUAGCUGGUUGGAGGGGUAACGGCCCACCAAGGCGACGAUCAGUAGCCGGUCUGAGAGGAUGAACGGCCACAUUGGAACUGAGACACGGUCCAGACUCCUACGGGAGGCAGCAGUGGGGAAUCUUCCGCAAUGGGCGAAAGCCUGACGGAGCAACGCCGCGUGAGUGAAGACGGCCUUCGGGUUGUAAAGCCCUGUUAUAGGGGACGAACGGCCGGGUAGCGAAUAGGUACCCGGCAUGACGGUACCGUAAGAGAAAGCCACGC
rnacentral:rRNA from 1 species